UGGGCUUGUGGUGUAGUGGUAUCACGUUCGCUUCGCAUGCGAAAGGCCUCGGGUUCGAUUCCCGAUGAGUCCAG
rnacentral:tRNA from 1 species